rnacentral:rRNA from 1 species
GGAUGAGCCCGCGGCCUAUCAGCUAGUUGGUGGGGUAAUGGCCUACCAAGGCGACGACGGGUAGCCGGCCUGAGAGGGCGACCGGCCACACUGGGACUGAGACACGGCCCAGACUCCUACGGGAGGCAGCAGUGGGGAAUAUUGCGCAAUGGGCGAAAGCCUGACGCAGCAACACCGCGUGAGGGAUGACGGCCUUCGGGUUGUAAACCUCUUUCAGCUCCGACGAAGCGAAAGUGACGGUAGGAGCAGAAGAAGCACCGGCUAACUACGUGCCAGCAGCCGCGGUAAUACGUAGGGUGCAAGCGUUGUCCGGAAUUAUUGGGCGUAAAGAGCUCGUAGGCGGUCCGUUGCGUCUGCCGUGAAAACCCGGAGCUCAACUCCGGGCCUGCGGUGGAUACGGGCGGACUAGAGUCCGGUAGGGGAGACUGGAAUUCCUGGUGUAGCGGUGGAAUGCGCAGAUAUCAGGAGGAACACCGGUGGCGAAGGCGGGUCUCUGGGCCGGAACUGACGCUGAGGAGCGAAAGCGUGGGGAGCGAACAGGAUUAGAUACCCUGGUAGUCCACGCCGUAGACGGUGGGCGCUAGGUGUGGGGAUCGUUUCCACGAUCUCCGUG